CAGCCGCCGCGGGAAUACGGAGGGUGCAAGCGUUAAUCGGAAUUACUGGGCGUAAAGCGCACGCAGGCGGUCUGUCAAGUCAGAUGUGAAAUCCCCGGGCUUAACCUGGGAACUGCAUUUGAAACUGGCAGGCUAGAGUCUUGUAGAGGGGGGUAGAAUUCCAGGUGUAGCGGUGAAAUGCGUAGAGAUCUGGAGGAAUACCGGUGGCGAAGGCGGCUCCCUGGACAAAGACUGACGCUCAGGUGCGAAAGCGUGGGGAGCAAACAGGAUUAGAUACCCGGGUAGUCCCUGUCUCUUAUAC
rnacentral:rRNA from 1 species